UUGGUGGAGCAUGUGGUUUAAUUCGAAGCAACGCGAAGAACCUUACCAAAUCUUGACAUCCUUUGAAAACUCUAGAGAUAGAGCCUUCCCCUUCGGGGGACAAAGUGACAGGUGGUGCAUGGUUGUCGUCAGCUCGUGUCGUGAGAUGUUGGGUUAAGUCCCGCAACGAGCGCAACCCUUAAGCUUAGUUGCCAUCAUUAAGUUGGGCACUCUAGGUUGACUGCCGGUGACAAACCGGAGGAAGGUGGGGAUGACGUCAAAUCAUCAUGCCCCUUAUGAUUUGGGCUACACACGUGCUACAAUGGACACGUU
rnacentral:rRNA from 1 species